rnacentral:rRNA from 1 species
CAAUGGGGGGAAACCCUGAAUGCAGCGACGCCGCGUGGAGGAAAGAAGGUCUUCGGAUUGUAAACUCCUGUUGUUGGGGAAGAUAAUGACGGUACCCAACAAGGNAAGUGACGGCUAACUACGUGCCAGCAGCCGCGGUAAAACGUAGGUCACAAGCGUUGUCCGGAAUUACUGGGUGUAAAGGGAGCGCAGGCGGGAAGACAAGUUGGAAGUGAAAUCUAUGGGCUCAACCCAUAAACUGCUUUCAAAACUGUUUUUCUUGAGUAGUGCAGAGGUAGGCGGAAUUCCCGGUGUAGCGGUGGAAUGCGUAGAUAUCGGGAGGAACACCAGUGGCGAAGGCGGCCUACUGGGCACCAACUGACGCUGAGGCUCGAAAGUGUGGGUAGCAAACAGGAUUAGAUACCCUGGUAGUCCAAGGGCGAAUUC